rnacentral:rRNA from 1 species
AAUGAACGCUGGCGGCAUGCCUAACACAUGCAAGUCGAACGAGACCUUCGUGACUAGUUGCGCACGGGUGCGUCACGCGUCGGAACCUUCCCUUAUGUUCGGAAUAACUCUCCGACAGGGGUGCUAACACCGGAUAAUUUCUUCUAACCAAAGAUUUAUCGCCCUUGGAUGAGCCGGCGUUGGAUUAGCUAGUUGGUAGGGUAAAAGCCUAUCACGGCUAGGAUACAUAGCUGGUAAGAGAGCAUGGGCAGCGACACUGGGACUGGGACGCGGCCGAGAAUCCUACGGGAGGGAGGAGUGCCGAAUAUAGGAAAAUGGGCGGAGUGAUGAAGGAGCAAGGCCUGGAGAGUGAUGAAGGUCUGAGGGAUGAAAAGCUCUUUUACCCGGGAUGAUAAUGACGGUACCGGGAGAAUAAGCUCCGGCUAACUCCGUG